AGUGAACGCUGGCGGCAGGCCUAACACAUGCAAGUCGAACGGCACCACAGUAGGUGCUUGCUGUUACGGGUGGCGAGUGGCGGACGGGUGCGGAAUACAUGGGAAUCUACAUUUUCGCGGGUGAUAACGUAGGGAAACUUACGCUAGUACCGCAUACGUCCUAUGGGGGAAGGCAGGCGACCUUUUGGCUUUUCGCGUUUGGUAGUGCCGGUCUCGGAUUACGUAGUUGGGGUGGUAAGGGCUGACCAAGGCGCAGAUCCGUAGCUGGCCUGAGGGGAUGAUUCGCCAGACUGGAACUGAGACACGGUCCAGACUCCGACGGUGGGACGCAGUGGGGAAUCUUAGACGAGGGGGGAGAGCCUGAUCCAGCCAUACCGCCUAAGUGAAGAAGGACUUCGGCUUGUAGAACGCUGUUGUUGGGAGAGAAGAGCAACACGUUCAUACGCCACUGUUCUGACGGUACCCAAAGAAUAAGCCCCGGCUAACUUCGUG
rnacentral:rRNA from 1 species